UCUGGUGACAAUGGCAAGGAGGUCACACCUGUUCCCAUGCCGAACACAGAAGUUAAGCUCCUUAGCGCCGAUGGUAGUCGGACUGACGUUCCGC
rnacentral:rRNA from 1 species